UAGUUAUUCUAUUAAAAAUAAGGGAGAAUCAAGAAGUUUUGAACUAUCGUGGUGUUUUGAAUUUUCAGAUGCUUCCUAAGAAAUUAAACUAUGGCGAAUCAGGUUGCGAGCAUGUUGGAUCGAGCAGGUCAAUGUAGGAGUUUAGGUAAUUCUAAGAUAGGGCACGGUUUUGCCUCAAGAAGAGGAUUUUGGUAAUUUCUAGUAGGACGAGAAUUGCACAAAGAAUAAAAACAAUAAGGAGAACGAAGAGAAAUCUCCAAUAAAGUCAAUUACAAUAGAAAAAAUAAUUGAGUGUAGACAAAACUCUCCAAGAUGGAAUCCAGAGA
rnacentral:lncRNA from 1 species